rnacentral:lncRNA from 1 species
GGAUUAACAUAUGUAAUCUUCAAACAACCCUAUGAAUUAGGUUCUAUUACAAUUCUCAUUCUACUGAAGUUGAAAAUGAGGAGCAGAGAGGUUAAGUCUCUAGCCCUAGGUCACAAAACUGAAAAAUUCUAUUCUCAGCAUUCUAACCCAGGCAGUCUGGCUCCAGAGCUCCUGCUUUACAAAUGUUUUCUUAUUUAACAUUGGAUGUGAUUAUAUGAAAUAUUUUUAUUGCCAAUUUCCAGAUGAGGAAGGUGAGGCUCAGAGAAGGGGAAUGAAAUGCCCAAUGACUCACCAAGAGCAAUGGGCAAAAAGAGGAUUUUAAACCCAUGACCCUGUGUUUGUUUGGGGUACUAGUAGCCUGUUAGACCAGAAGUAUUAAAAAGGACCCUUGGGUAUCAAUAAGAUCCUCAUAAGACUGAUGUGGCAGAAGACAUGAGGUGGACUUCUCUUGAAUCUACUAGUCAUUGGUUGAUUGAAUCUGCUUGUUCAUCCCCUGUUGUUCCCAGUUCAUUUCAGCUUUUGGAAUUGAUUAUUUCAACCACCGGAAAACUAUGCUGUGGUUGGAUAUAACAAAGACUACCAGUCCAUGCCCAAGAGCUCCUGUUAGCCAGUCACAUUUUUUUUCCUGCAAGGAAGACUGGUUUAAGAGAGAUUCACCUCUCCCUUCCCACCCAGGACUGAACAGAGAGACAGGAAGGAAGGAAAAAGAGAUGUAACUAUGAAGAGGCAUAUGCUGUUGAGAGUCUCAAACUGUGACCUACCUUUGCCUCAUUCAGGCAAAUCUUUGAAACUUGGUUUCCUCAUGGUAAAUUGGAGAUAAUCCUGCCUACAUGAUUAAAUGAAUAACAUAUGAAAUAUGUGUUUCACAAGACCUCUAAAACAGGUUGAUUUUCUAUGUCUUAAAAGUAAGCCGAUAAGUAUAUGCAGUUGCUGGUAAGAGCAUUCUAGGCAGUGAGAAAUGGGUCAACAAAAUUAUAGAGGGAAAACAAGGUGUGCUCAGUGACCCCCAAAGUGGAACUAAAAUUUCGUGAAAGAAAAUAUUAAGAAAGAAGCAUAGAAUGGUAGGUAGAGCCAGGUCUCAGAAGGCUGUCGAUAUCAGGCUGUAGAGCUGAGCUUUAUGCUUGUUCUGUAAAGUAGGAUUAAGUAACAAAACCUCUGAUGUCACAGUAGGAAGUUUGCAGGGUCUCCACGAGUUCACUUUUUGCAAACACUCUUGUACAAAUUAGAAAAAAUUCACACCUUCCACACUUCUUCCAUUAGGCAGAAGUUUAUCUUUAUGAGAGAUGUAUAAUGCUAUGGUGUCUCUGAUGUGAGUUGUGCUCUCUGGAGAUAGGGCACCCUUGUGCAGUGAACAAUUGCAGAAGACACAGAACUUUUGACCUGUGGAAUUUCAUG